CCAUAUCACAUUGAAACACUAGAUCUUGUCUGAUCACUGAAGUUAAGCAAUGGCAAGCCUGGUCUGUACCUGGAUGGGUGACCACUUGGGCAUACCAGGUACGGUAA